GAAGAUAAUGCAUCUUGGCUACUUUCCUACCUGUAAAAUGGGCAGGCUAUCACCUAUAUGGUCUCAUGAGGAUUGAUUUAGGUAGUGGGGGUGUUUCUCCAGUUCCUAGCACCCAGCUCCUGUUUGGAUCCUUCCUUUCGGAGUCGUGCAUGCUGGCUUGCACAGUCUACUGCAUAUACCUUAGUGAAAACUUCACUUCCCCAAAAGAAGGGUCUUCAGUGGAGAAAUAUUUAUGCUCCCCCUGGACCAUCCAGAAGGCAAGAGAACGUGGACACAGAACUCCCAGCGACAGUUCUGAACUUAGCUCUGCUGGGGGAUGCCAAGCACUGAUUGCUGAUGACCUGAAACUAUCUCCGUGGCUGAGGGGGGUGGUGUGAGUCCUAACUAAUCUAAACACUAGGCUUGGGCUGACUUGCUCUUGAGUGGCAUGCAUACCUUCUGUCCAGAGAUGGUUUCUCCCUUGCCUACUACUCAAGGGUUGGAUGUGGCCCAACCUAGGGGUGCCUUCAGCAGUGAAAUCCUUUCUCAGGCUGCUCUGUCUGGCUUUUUUCCCCCCCUCUGAAUUCAUCCAUGGCACAACCAGGCGUAGGGGCAGACCACUGUCUACAAGAACGGUCUUCCCAUGGUGUCUGGUUAUUCAGGCUUGUCCAACUUGAGGCUGCAGUGCACACAGCCAUCUUUGUGGGAGGGGGCUAUCGUGUACCCCAUACUGUGAAACCAGAGGCUCCAUGGGUCACAAAGCCAGUGGGAGCAGAAACCAACCUCCUUGAUGCUAUAGAGCAUUCCUCUUGAGGCUUUCCUGACCUGGCUCUGGGCUGGAAAAAUCAUGCCAGCAGUCCUAGCUUCCUGGAAUACAUGAUCCCCUUCUCCAGGAACCAAAAGGAGGCAAGUUGAAAGCUCUGACCUCUUAGCCAGUAUUCUUUCUCUGUACCUCAUUUUCCUAGGUUCUUCUGUGCCUUAACUUCCUUAGGUGGGAAAUCCCCUUUCAUGGAGACUCCCGUAGCCUUUGCUUCGGAGGCCAUAUGUAAUCCUGAAAUCUGAGCUACGCUGCCACCCUCCCUCUCCAGCCCCAGAUUGGUAUCUGGCACAAUCUGGAGACAGGAUGGGAUUAGAGGCACUGGUGCUUUCUUGGAUGCUAGAAAAAUCCAGGCCUAUGAACAUGUUUUCACUUGACAAUAGCUGCCCAGCUGGUAGGGCAGGCUCACUUGGUUCAUGGUGAAACUCCUCUCUAGAAUCUUCUGGAAAACGAGUUCACUGUGUGGGUUUUUUUUUCUCCCCCCCCCCCCCCCCCUUUCCUGGCCACUUCCUGGCCACUGUCCCACUGGGACCAUGUCCUUGAAAUUCCAGCUUAUUCUCUAACUUUAUUCAACAUUUUAC
rnacentral:lncRNA from 1 species